rnacentral:rRNA from 1 species
UGAGGGAUAUUGGUCAAUGGGCGGAAGCCUGAACCAGCCAUCCCGCGUGCAGGAAGACAGCCCUAUGGGUUGUAAACUGCUUUUCCAGUGGGCGAAACACUCGUACGUGUACGAGAUUGACGGUACACUGGGAAUAAGCAUCGGCUAACUCCGUGCCAGCAGCCGCGGUAAUACGGAGGAUGCAAGCGUUAUCCGGAUUUAUUGGGUUUAAAGGGUGCGUAGGCGGAUGAAUAAGUCAGUGGUGAAAGGCUGCAGCUUAACUGUAGACUUGCCGUUGAUACUGUUUAUCUUGAGUAUGGUCAAGGCAGGCGGAAUGUGUAGUGUAGCGGUGAAAUGCUUAUAUAUUACACAGAACACCGAUUGCGAAGGCAGCUUGCUGGGCCAUUACUGACGCUGAUGCACGAAAGCGUGGGGAGCGAACAG